rnacentral:rRNA from 1 species
AGAAUCAACGCUGGCGGCGCGCCUAACACAUGCAAGUCGAACGAGAAAGCCGGAGCAAUCUGGUGAGUAAAGUGGCGUACGGGUGAGUAACACGUGGAUGAUCUACCUUUUAGUGAGGAAUAACCAUGGGAAACCGUGGCUAAUACCGCAUGAGCUCGAGAGAGGAAAGUCGCAAGACGCUGAAAGAGGAGUCCGCGGCCGAUUAGCUAGUUGGCAGGGUAAAAGCCUACCAAGGCGAAGAUCGGUAGCCGGCCUGAGAGGGCACACGGCCACACUGGCACUGAAACACGGGCCAGACUCCUACGGGAGGCAGCAGUGGGGAAUCUUGCACAAUGGGGGAAACCCUGAUGCAGCGACGCCGCGUGAGCGAUGAAGCCCUUCGGGGUGUAAAGCUCUUUCGGCAGGGAAGAUAGUGACGGUACCUGCAGAAGCAGCUGCGGCUAACUACGUGCCAGCAGCCGCGGUAAUACGUAGGCAGCGAGCGUUGUUCGGAGUUACUGGGCGUAAAGGGUGUGUAGGCGGUUGUUUAAGUUUGGUGUGAAAUCUCCCGGCUCAACUGGGAGGGUGCGCCGAAUACUGAAUGACUUCGAGUGCGGGAGAGGAAAGUGGAAUUCCUGGUGUAGCGGUGAAAUGCGUAGAUAUCAGGAGGAACACCGGUGGUGUAGACGGCUUUCUGGACCGUAACUGACGCUGAGACACGAAAGCGUGGGUAGCAAACAGGAUUAGAUACCCUGGUAGUCCACGCCCUAAACGAUGCAUAUUUGGUGUGGGCAGUUCAUUCUGUCCGUGCCGGAGCUAACGCGUUAAAUAUGCCGCCUGGGGAGUACAGUCGCAAGGCUGAA